CGUCUACGAGUUUGAUCAUGGCUCAGAACGAACGCUGGCGGCAGGCCUAACACAUGCAAGUCGAGCGAACCCUUCGGGGUUAGCGGCGGACGGGUUAGUAACGCGUGGGAAUAUACCCUUUGGUACGGAAUAGCCUCGGGAAACUGAGAGUAAUACCGUAUGUGCCCUUCGGGGAAAGAUUAUCGCCAAAGGAUUAGCCCGCGUUGGAUUAGAUAGUUGGUGGGGUAAGUGGCCUACCAAGUCUACGAUCCAUAGCUGGUUUGAGAGGAUGAUCAGCAACACCGGGACUGAGACACGGCCCAGACUCCUACGGGAGGCAGCAGUGGGGAAUCUUAGACAAUGGGCGCAAGCCUGAUCUAGCCAUGCCGCGUGGACGAUGAAGGCCUUAGGGUUGUAAAGUCCUUUCAGAUGGGAAGAUAAUGACGGUACCAUCAGAAGAAGCCCCGGCUAACUCCGUG
rnacentral:rRNA from 1 species